GACGAACGCUGGCGGCGUGCCUAAUACAUGCAAGUCGAACGCUGAAGAGCGGAGCUUGCUCUUCUUGGGUGAGUUGCGCACGGGUGAGUAACGCGUAGGUCACCUGCCUUGUAGCGGGGGAUAACUAUUGGACACGAUAGCUAAUACCGCAUAACAAUGGAUGACACGGUGCAGUUAUUUGAAUGGGGCCAUUGUUCCACUACAAGAUGGACCUGCGGUGUAUUGGCUAGUAGGUGAGGUAAUGGCUCACGUAGGCGACGUAACGUAGCCAACCUGAGCGGACGGUCGGCCAGACUGGGACUGUGACACGGCCCAGAGGCCUACGGGAGGCAGCCAGAGGGAAACGGCGGCAAGGGGGGCAACCCUGAGCAAGCAAGGCCGCGGGAGGGUAGAAGGAUGCCGGAUCGGAAAGCUCGGUUGUAAGUCAAGAACGGGCUUGAGAGUGGAAAGUACACACAGUGACGGUAGCGGAUCAGAAAGGAACGGCUAACUACGUG
rnacentral:rRNA from 1 species